rnacentral:rRNA from 1 species
ACCCUACGGGAGGCAGCAGUGAGGAAUAUUGGUCAAUGGGCGCGAGCCUGAACCAGCCAAGUCGCGUGAGGGAUGACGGUCCUACGAAUUGUAAACCUCUUUUGCCGGGAGCAAGCGUGCGUUCGUGAACGCGCGUCGAGAGUACCCGGAGAAAAAGCAUCGGCUAACUCCGUGCCAGCAGCCGCGGUAAUACGGAGGAUGCGAGCGUUAUCCGGAUUUAUUGGGUUUAAAGGGUGCGCAGGCGGGAGAUCAAGUCAGCGGUAAAAUGUCGGGGCUCAACCCCGGCCGGCCGUUGAAACUGGUUU